UACGGAGGGGGCUAGCGUUGUUCGGAAUUACUGGGCGUAAAGCGCACGUAGGCGGCUUUGUAAGUCAGGGGUGAAAGCCUGGAGCUCAACUCCAGAACUGCCUUUGAGACUGCAUCGCUUGAAUCCGGGAGAGGUGAGUGGAAUUCCGAGUGUAGAGGUGAAAUUCGUAGAUAUUCGGAAGAACACCAGUGGCGAAGGCGGCUCACUGGACCGGUAUUGACGCUGAGGUGCGAAAGCGUGGGGAGCAAACAGG
rnacentral:rRNA from 2 species